UCGCCCUCUCGCGGGUGCGGGGGCCGUGGACGACGUUAGGAACGUCGGUCCAGCAGGUAGAUCAAGAUGAUCAUGAUGUCUAGGGAGAA
rnacentral:tRNA from 1 species